GGCAUGGGAGGGCCGGCCGCAGCGGGUGACAGCCCCGUACGCGAACCCAGACCGGACGGCGCGACGCGGUCCCUGAGUAGGGCCGGGCACGUGAAACCCGGUCCGAACCUGGGUGGACCACCAUCCAAGCCUGAGUACUACCCUGUGACCGAUAGCGCACCAGUACCGUGAGGGAAAGGUGAAAAGCACCCCGGGAGGGGAGUGAAACAGUACCUGAAACCGUGCGCCCACGAGCAGUCGGAGCACCUUUAUGGUGUGACGGCGUGCCUUUUGUAGAAUGAGCCAGCGAGUCGCUGGCGCGGGGCGAGGUUAACCGAAAGGGAGCCGGAGCGAAAGCGAGCCUUAACAGGGCGACUUGAGUCCCGCGCCGCGGACGCGAAGCCGGGUGAGCUAUCCGUGGGCAGGCUGAAGCGGGGGUAAGACCCCGUGGAGGGCCGAACGCACGUCGGUUGAAAACGGCGGCGAUGACCUGCGGAUAGGGGUGAAAGGCCAAUCAAACCCGGAGAUAUCUCGUUCUCCCCGAAAUAGCUUUAGGGCUAGCGUCGCGCGUUCACCGCCGGAGGUAGAGCACCGGAUGGACGAGGGGGCUUCGCCGCCUACCGAAUCCAACCGAACUCCGAAUGCCGGCGGCCCAGAGCGCGGCAGUCAGAGCAUGUGGGCUAAGCUGUGUGCUCGAGAGGGAAACAGCCCGGACCGCCCGCUAAGGUCCCCAAGUUCCAGCCGAGUGGCAAAGGAUGUGCGUCCGCCCAGACAACCAGGAUGUUGGCUUAGAAGCAGCCAUCCAUUCAAAGAGUGCGUAACAGCUCACUGGUCGAGUGGACAUGCGCCGACAAUACACGGGGCUAAGCUGGACACCGAAGCGGCGGGAUUUUAAUUCAUUAGAAUCGGUAGGGGAGCUUCCCAUGGGCGGAGAAGCCGGAGGGCGACCGACGGUGGAGCGCAUGGGAGUGAGAAUGCUGGCAUGAGUAGCGAGAGACGAGAGAGUAACUCGUCCGCCGUGAACCCGAGGUUUCCUGGGCAAGGCUAAUCCUCCCAGGGUCAGUCGGGGGCUAAGGCGAGGCCGGUAGGCGUAGCCGACGCGCAGCAGGCAGACAUUCCUGCACCGCGCACGCGGCGCUACGACCGACGGGGCGACGGAUGGGGGUGGCUCGGCGGGGUUCUGGACGUCCCCGUGAUGGAGCGCGGCCCGCGGACCAGGGAAAUCCGGUCCGCAGAAGGGCGAGGCUCCGGACGAAGCGACUGAGCGAAGCGAGUGAGCCCGAGGUCCCUAGAAAAACCCCUAGGCAGGCGCGUGCGCGCCCGUACCGCAAACCGACACAGGUGGGUGGGUAGAACAUACCGAGGCGAUCGGGUCAACCAUGGUCAAGGAACUCGGCACAAUGGCCCCGUAACUUCGGGAGAAGGGGUGCCCGCGCGUACGUGAACCGGCUUGCCCGGGGAGCGGAGGCGGGCCGCAGUGGAGAGGCCCAAGCGACUGUUUACCAAAAACACAGGACUCUGCAGAAGCCGCAAGGCGACGUAUAGGGUCUGACGCCUGCCCGGUGCCGGAAGGUCACGCGGAGGAGUUAGCCGUUAAGGCGAAGCCCCGAAGCCAAGCCCCGGUAAACGGCGGCCGUAACUAUAACGGUCCUAAGGUAGCGAAAUUCCUUGUCGGGUAAGUUCCGACCUGCACGAAAGGCGCAACGACUUGGGCGCUGUCUCGACCAUGGACCCGGUGAAAUUGCACUGGUCGUGAAGAUGCGACUUACCCGCGGAAGGACGGAGAGACCCCGUGAACCUUCACUGCAGCUUGGCAUUGGCCGCUGGUCCCGCGUGUAGAGGAUAGGCAGGAGGCAUCGAUCCGGAGGCGCCAGCCCCCGGGGAGCCGCCCUUGGAAUACUGCCCUCGCGCGACCGGCGUCCUAACCCGAGGCCGUCAACCGGCUCGGGGACCGUGCCAGGCGGGCAGUUUGACUGGGGCGGUCGCCUCCUAAAGGGUAACGGAGGCGCGCGAAGGUCCGCUCGGGACGGUCGGCAACCGUCCUUUUGAAUGCAAGAGUACAAGCGGGCUUGACUGCGAGGCCCACAAGCCGAGCAGGUGCGAAAGCAGGCUCUAGUGAUCCGGCGGCCCCGAGUGGGUGGGCCG
rnacentral:rRNA from 1 species